rnacentral:misc_RNA from 1 species
GAUGAAGAACGCAGUGAAAUGCGAUAAGUAAUGUGAAUUGCAGAAUUCAGUGAAUCAUCGAAUCUUUGAACGCACAUUGCGCCCGCCAGUAUUCUGGCGGGCAUGCCUGUUCGAGCGUCAUUUCAACCAUCAAGCCCCGGCUUGUGUUGGGGACCUGCGGCUGCCGCAGGCCCUGAAAAGCAGUGGCGGGCUCGCUGUCACACCGAGCGUAGUAGCAUACAUCUCGCUCUGGGCGUGCUGCGGGUUCCGGCCGUUAAACCACCUUCAUAACCCAAGGUUGACCUCGGAUCAGGUAGGAAGACCCGCUGAACUUAAGCAUAUCAAUAAGCGGAGGA